GAUUGUUGUUCAUCGAAGUUUUGCAGUAGUAGAUAAUCUUGGUGAAGUUUCUGCAAACACACAGAUUCAAACAGUGUGCUUCGAUAGCCUUGGUCUUAUGCUUGCGCCUUGAACAUUUUGUUCAGAAACAAUCUAAGGUUGCAAGCAAGUUUGCCUUUUGUUGUGCCCCCAAUCUUCUCAGCAAUCGACCUCAUUGGAGUUUAUCAAGGUUUGAAGCAUGUUCAUCUGCAGACAUUAACUAAGGUUGGUCUUUUAUGCUUGUACUAAACUAACAGUCAUUCUAUUGACAUUAUUGGGUGUGUAUAUGAGAACUUCAAUAAAGGUGUUGCUCACAUAUUGAGACUACUUUGUGUUUUUAAAGAAUGUAAAUUUUGCUCCCUAUUUGAUGAG